rnacentral:tRNA from 1 species
GGAGAUGUGGCUUAGUGGUAGAGUGCUUGCCUAGCACGCAUGAAGCCCUGGGUUCAAUUCCUUUGUACCA